UUCAGUGCUGGGGAAGAGAGCUGCUUGCCAGAAGAAUCCUGACUCUCCUCCAACCACUGAACCACCUGAAAGGGCAGACGGGCCAGAGUAUUGCAUGAUACAGCUGGUACCCCCACCAAGAGGACCAAGGCCAGACCGCAUAGCCUCAACUAUUUACUCCAGAGUCCAGUUUCCAAAUCCUGAACUCACAACUCCUGCUUAAUAAGGUGCCAAAUCUGUAUCUACCCUUCCUCUUCAGUCUGGGUUUAAACAUGUCUGGGCUAUUAUGAUAAUAGUUGUGACUUUGGUGGAUAAUGUGAACUACAAUAUGACUUUGGUAGAUAAUGUUAAUCAACUGUGAAUAUUCAUAUCUUUGUAUACAGUAUCUAAUGCUGCUCUUUGUCACUAUGGUCUUUAUACCAGUCAGCAAUAUCUUUCAAGGAAAUUGUUACUUUUGUGUCUUGAUUCAUGUUUUUCAUUGUUCAUUGCUGGAAAUAAGUUUUCAUUUGUGCCUGUCUUGAAAGUAAAUUGUCUCUUUUUUUGUGAAGCAGCGAGGAAGAGGUUUGUGUAUUUCUGUAGAAAAAGCCCCCAAGCCUUUUGUAGUGUAUUGAUGAUGCAUCAACCACACAUAUCCUGUUUGAGAGCUUAGCCGCUUACUGAGCAGCACACGUGUCCCAAUUAUUGUACAAUUUACCAUUUUUAAUACUGACUUUUUCAAGCAUUCAAUUAAAGUUGGAAAUGUUAAGUACAUUAAAGAGCGAACUGCAUGUG